UACGUAGGUGGCGAGCGUUGUCCGGAAUUACUGGGCGUAAAGCGUGCGCAGACGGUCACGUAAGUCGGGUGUGAAAGCCCCGGGCUCAACCUGGGAAUUGCAUUCGAGACUGCGUGGCUAGGGUGCGGAAGAGGGAAGCGGAAUUUCCGGUGUAGCGGUGAAAUGCGUAGAUAUCGGAAGGAACACCAGUGGCGAAAGCGGCUUCCUGGUCCAGCACCGACGUUCAGGCACGAAAGCGUGGGGAGCAAACAGG
rnacentral:rRNA from 1 species